GAUGAAGAACGUAGCGAAAUGCGAUAAGUAAUGUGAAUUGCAGAAUUCAGUGAAUCAUCGAAUCUUUGAACGCACAUUGCGCCCGCCAGUAUUCUGGCGGGCAUGCCUGUUCGAGCGUCAUUUCAACCAUCAAGCCCCCGGCUUGUGUUGGGGACCUGCGGCUGCCGCAGGCCCUGAAAACCAGUGGCGGGCUCGCUAGUCACUCCGAGCGUAGUAAUACAUCUCGCUCAGGGCGUGCUGCGGGUUCCGGCCGUUAUAAAGCCUUAUUUACCCAAGGUUGACCUCGGAUCAGGUAGGAAGACCCGCUGAACUUAAGCAUAUAAUAAGCGGAGGA
rnacentral:misc_RNA from 1 species